rnacentral:rRNA from 1 species
AAGUCGUAACAAGGUUUCCGUAGGUGAACCUGCGGAAGGAUCAUUAUUGAAUGAAUGUAGAGUCGGUUGUAGCUGGCCUCCUUUGGGGAGCAUGUGCACACCUUCUCUUUCAUCCACACACCCCUGUGCACCUGUGAGACAGAGACUUUUUUGCUCCUUUAAUCAGGACAGUAGUUUCUGUCUGCUUCACAUAAAACCAUAUUAUUAAAUUUUGAAUGUAAUUUGAUGUAACGCAUCUAAUACAAAGUUUCAACAACGGAUCUCUUGGCUCUCGCAUCGAUGAAGAACGCAGCGAAAUGCGAUAAGUAAUGUGAAUUGCAGAAUUCAGUGAAUCAUCGAAUCUUUGAACGCACCUUGCGCUCCUUGGUAUUCCUCGGAGCACGCCUGUUUGAGUAUCAUGAAAUUCUCAAAACAAGUCUUUUGUUAAUUCAAUAGGCCUUUGUUUUGGACUUGGAGGUCUGCAGAUUCACAUCUGCUCCUCUUAAAUAAAUUAGCUGGAUCUCCAUGAACUUGGUUCCACUCGGCGUGAUAAGUAUCACUCGCUGAGGACACCCGUAAAAAGGUGGCCAGGCUUGAGGAUGAGCCGCUUCUAACAGUCCAUUUAAUUGGACAAAUUAAUUUAUGAUCUGAUCUCAAAUCAGGUGGGACUACCCGCUGAACUUAA